CCUACGGGAGGCAGCAGUGAGGAAUAUUGGUCAAUGGGCGUAAGCCUGAACCAGCCAAGCCGCGUGAGGGAUGAAGGUUCUAUGGAUCGUAAACCUCUUUUAUAAGGGAAUAAAGUGUGGGACGUGUCCUUUUCUGUAUGUACUUUAUGAAUAAGGAUCGGCUAACUCCGUGCCAGCAGCCGCGGUAAUACGGAGGAUCCGAGCGUUAUCCGGAUUUAUUGGGUUUAAAGGGAGCGUAGGUGGGUGGUUAAGUCAGUUGUGAAAGUUUGCGGCUCAACCGUAGAAUUGCAAUUGAUACUGGCAGGCUUGAGUGCAGUUGAGGUAGGCGGAAUUCGUGGUGUAGCGGUGAAAUGCUUAGAUAUCACGAAGAACUCCGAUUGCGAAGGCAGCUUACUAAGCUGCCACUGACAUUGAUGCUCGAAAGUGUGGGUAUCAAACAGGAUUAGAUACCCGAGUAGUC
rnacentral:rRNA from 1 species